UACGUAGGGUGCAAGCGUUGUCCGGAAUUUAUUGGGCGUAAAGAGCUCGUAGGCGGUCUGUCGCGUCGCUGUGAAAACCUGAGGGCUUACCACUCGGACCUUGCAGUCGGUAGUACGGCAACUAGAGUACGUGCGAGGGGAGACUGGAAUUCCUGGUGUAGCGGUGGAAUGCGCAGAUAUCAGGAGGAACACCGGUGGCGAAGGCGGGUCUCUGGGCCGUAACUGACGCUGGAGGAGCGAAAGCGUGGGGAGCGAACAGG
rnacentral:rRNA from 1 species